rnacentral:rRNA from 1 species
UACGGAGGGUGCGAGCGUUGUCCGGAAUCACUGGGCGUAAAGGGCGCGUAGGUGGCCGAGCAAGGUCGCGGUGAAAGCCCGGGGCUCAACCCCGGGUCGGCCGUGGCAACUACUGGGCUGGAGCACUGUAGGGGCGGGUGGAAUUCCGGGUGUAGCGGUGGAAUGCGUAGAGAUCCGGAAGAACACCGGUGGCGAAGGCGGCCCGCUGGGCAGUUGCUGACACUGAGGCGCGACAGCGUGGGGAGCAAACGGG